rnacentral:rRNA from 1 species
AGGACGAACGCUGGCGGCGUGCUUAACACAUGCAAGUCGAGCGAGGCCCUUCCUUCGGGAAGGUGCCCUAGCGGCGAACGGGUGAGUAACACGUGGGCAACCUGCCCCUAGCACUGGGAUAACUCCGGGAAACCGGGGCUAAUACCGGAUAUGACCUCCGAGGGCAUCCUUGGUGGUGUAAAGGAAUCUGGCUAGGGAUGGGCCCGCGGCCUAUCAGCUUGUUGGUGGGGUAAUGGCCUACCAAGGCGACGACGGGUAGCCGGCCUGAGAGGGCGACCGGCCACACUGGGACUGAGACACGGCCCAGACUCCUACGGGAGGCAGCAGUGGGGAAUAUUGCACAAUGGGCGAAAGCCUGAUGCAGCGACGCCGCGUGAGGGAUGACGGCCUUCGGGUUGUAAACCUCUUUCAGCAGGGACGAAGCGAAAGUGACGGUACCUGCAGAAGAAGCACCGGCCAACUACGCGCCAGCAGCCGC